rnacentral:rRNA from 1 species
UGGGGAAUCUUAGACAAUGGGCGCAAGCCUGAUCCAGCAAUGCCGCGUGCAGGAUGAAGGCCUUCGGGUUGUAAACUGCUUUUGUACGGAACGAAACGGCUCUGUCUAAUACAUGGGGCUAAUGACGGUACCGUAAGAAUAAGCACCGGCUAACUACGUGCCAGCAGCCGCGGUAAUACGAAGGGUGCAAGCGUUACUCGGAAUUACUGGGCGUAAAGCGUGCGUAGGUGGUUUGUUAAGUCUGAUGUGAAAGCCCUGGGCUCAACCUGGGAAUUGCAUUGGAUACUGGCAGGCUAGAGUGCGGUAGAGGAUGGCGGAAUUCCCGGUGUAGCAGUGAAAUGCGUAGAUAUGCGGAGGAACACCGAUGGCGAAGGCAAUCCCCUGGACCUGUACUGACGCUCAUGCACGAAAGCGUGGGGAGCAAACA